GACGAACGCUGGCGGCGUGCUUAACACAUGCAAGUCGAACGGAAAGGCCCUGCUUUUGUGGGGUGCUCGAGUGGCGAACGGGUGAGUAACACGUGAGUAACCUGCCCUUGACUUUGGGAUAACUUCAGGAAACUGGGGCUAAUACCAGAUAGGAGCUCCUGCUGCAUGGUGGGGGUUGGAAAGUUUCGGCGGUUGGGGAUGGACUCGCGGCUUAUCAGCUUGUUGGUGGGGUAGUGGCUUACCAAGGCUUUGACGGGUAGCCGGCCUGAGAGGGUGACCGGCAACAUUGGGACUGAGAUACGGCCCAGACUCCUACGGGAGGCAGCAGUGGGGAAUAUUGCACAAUGGGCGGAAGCCUGAUGCAGCAACGCCGCGUGCGGGAUGACGGCCUUCGGGUUGUAAACCGCUUUCGCCUGUGACGAAGCGUGAGUGACGGUAAUGGGUAAAGAAGCACCGGCUAACUACGUG
rnacentral:rRNA from 1 species